CUGGGAUUGGGCUCUGACACGACCUCCCAUAUGUAACACAGACGAUGAUAACGAGAUUCAGCGCCGCGGAUUUCGCCUUUGGGAAAGAUAAGGAUUGUGUAUAUGGCCCUGCCAGCUGUAUACAGGGAUAUCUACAUUCCAGCCACCUGUACAGCUUUCAUCACUGCCCACAGGUUCCAGCCUGAGACACCUGAGCAGUGAUUGGACUUCAAAUCCCAGAAUUCCCGGAUGUCCGAAAUGACGAUUCCAGAGCAAGUUAAGAAUCCCGGGUAGAAGGGAAGAACCAUUCCUGGGAGAGAGGAACGGGAUCUUCCAUUCUCUGCCCCCCAGCAGGGGGGUAACCGAGGGUAAUGUUACAGUGCUGAGUGAGACAUCUCUUCCAGGUAUGAAAUAGCUACAAACAGAGAGUGGGCUGUUUCUGUAAAGUAGGUUUUGUUUAUCCAGAGGUCACAGGACCCUUACAGAACAGGAGGUACACACAGGGGCUCCCAGGCAUUGCCCACACCAGACAUAAAUAUGGCCGACGAGCCUUCCUUGCACAAUAGCCAAUCAUUUCCUCAGUGGAGAUCGAUAGACAAUGAAUUAGGCAACUAAAGGGAAAGUUAAACCAUAAUCACCAAGAACCCCAGUUAAGAGAGUUUGUACAGAGACGUGUUCUCUAUCAUCUCCUCCAUGUUUGACUGUAGGACUGUAGGAAGGGUCUUUCCCCAAUAAGGGCCCCCACUGAUAUAUAAUACAGUAACCGGAGCCACGUCCCCAGCCAUUUGCAACAGAACCAUUUGUACAGAGAUUCCAUUUGUAUUUGGAAAUAUCAUUUUGCAAGUUGCCCCAGGGACUGGUCCGAUUGCCAUCUUGGAGUCAGGAAGGAAUUUUUUCCCCUCUGGGGCAAA